GAUGAACGCUGGCGGCGUGCCUAAUACAUGCAAGUCGAGCGAACAGACGAGGAUCUUGCUCCUCUGACGUUAGCGGCGGACGUGUGAGUAACACGUGGAUAACCUCCCUAUAAGACUGGUAUAACUUCGGGAAACCGGAGCUAAUACCGGAUAAUAUAUUGAACCGCAUGGUUCAAUAGUGAAAGACGGUUUUGCUGUCACUUAUAGAUGGUUCCGCGCCGCAUUAGCUAGUUGGUAAGGUAACGGCUUACCAAGGGGACGAUGCGUAGCCGACCUGAGAGGGUGAUCGGCCACACUGGAACUGAGACACGGUCCAGACUCCUACGGGAGGCAGCAGUAGGGAAUCUUCCGCAAUGGGCGAAAGCCUGACGGAGCAACGCCGCGUGAGUGAUGAAGGUCUUCGGAUCGUAAAACUCUGUUAUUAGGGAAGAACAAAUGUGUAAGUAACUAUGCACGUCUUGACGGUACCUAAUCAGAAAGCCACGGCUAACUACGUG
rnacentral:rRNA from 1 species